rnacentral:misc_RNA from 1 species
UUAAGUUCAGCGGGUAUUCCUACCUGAUCCGAGGUCAACAUUCAGAAAUUGGGUUGUUUUACGGCGUGGACUUCGUGUCUAUCCGGUGCGAGGUGUAAUUACUACGCAGAGGAGGCAACAGCGAGUCCGCCACUGUAUUUGGGGCACGCCGUCGCAGAGGACGGCCGAUGCCCAACACCAAACCGCUGGGGCUUGAGGGU